GAUUAUCGAAGGAUACGACCUGAAUUCAUAAUC
rfam:Flavobacterium sp. EM1308 contig00052, whole genome shotgun sequence.